rnacentral:tRNA from 1 species
AGCGGCUGACUGUAGUAUGGAUAUCGGUACGACCGAUUUCAGAUCAGCAGGUCCCCGGUUCAAAUCCGGGAGUCGGGACCA